UGAGAGAUAUCAAACAUCCAAAAUCAUCUGAGGAAAACCUAAAAAGGUAUAUUUCAACUCAGGAAAAUCUGACUCCACAGGGGGACCAAAAGUCAUAAUAGGGAGCAGAGGGGAAGGAACACCAGGGAUGCCGGUUACUGGGCAUAUAAUAGGUGACCGACCAGGGCAUGAAUUGGGGAAUAUUUCCAAGACACUUAUC
rnacentral:lncRNA from 1 species